GAUGAACGCUGGCGGCGUGCCUAAUACAUGCAAGUCGAGCGAACAGACGAGGAGCUUGCUCCUCUGACGUUAGCGGCGGACGGGUGAGUAACACGUGGAUAACCUACCUAUAAGACUGGGAUAACUUCGGGAAACCGGAGCUAAUACCGGAUAAUAUAUUGAACCGCAUGGUUCAAUAGUGAAAGACGGUUUUGCUGUCACUUAUAGAUGGAUCCGCGCCGCAUUAGCUAGUUGGUAAGGUAACGGCUUACCAAGGCAACGAUGCGUAGCCGACCUGAGAGGCUGAACGGCCACACUGGAACUGAGACACGGUCCAGACUCCUACGGGAGGCAGCAGUAGGGAAUCUUCAGCAAUGGGCGAAAGCCUGACGGAGCAACGCCGCGUGAGUGAUGAAGAUCUUCGGAUCGUAAAACUCUGUUAUGAGGGAAGAACAAAUGUGUAAGUAACUAUGCACGUCUUGACGGUACCUAAUCAGAAAGCCACGGCUAACUACGUG
rnacentral:rRNA from 1 species